rnacentral:rRNA from 1 species
CACGCCGUAAACGAUGAAUACUAGGUGUCGGGGCCCACAGGGCUUCGGUGCCGCAGCAAACGCAUUAAGUAUUCCACCUGGGGAGUACGUUCGCAAGAAUGAAACUCAAAGGAAUUGACG